rnacentral:rRNA from 1 species
UACGUAGGGUGCAGGCGUUAUUCGGAAUUACUGGGCGUAAAGCGUGCGCAGGCGGUUUCUUAAGUCAGAUGUGAAAGCCCCGGGCUUAACCUGGGAACUGCGUUUGAAACUGGGAGACUUGAGUGUGGCAGAGGGGGGUGGAAUUCCACGUGUAGCAGUGAAAUGCGUAGAUAUGUGGAGGAACACCGAUGGCGAAGGCAGCCCCCUGGGUUAACACUGACGCUCAUGCACGAAAGCGUGGGGAGCAAACAGG